UGGAAUAGGAAACGUAAUAAUAUCAGAUUUACAACCCAAUUUAUAGUCCGAAGGGUUUCAGUUUGAUUGAGAAAUAAAACCAAAGUUGUAUUGGUGUGUUAAAUAUUCUGCACCGUGCAUGAAAACAGCUUUGUGAUGUGAUGAGAUGAAGGGACAUUUAAAGGGAGAUACUGUGGAGAAUACGGUAAUCAUGAAAACGACUUUGUGAUGUGAUGCGAUGAAGGGACAUUUAAAGGGAGAUACUGUGGAGAGUACAGUAAUCUUGAAAGCCAGACUCACCAGGAAAGGAGUGAUGUGAAUCUACUCGAUUCAACAAGAGAGGCCAGAUGUAUAAUUUCGGGAGCCGUGGGCAGAGGAAACCAUGAACAUUUAACCGGGAGAAAUGAACAGCACGUGCAGGGAAGAGUCGUGGAAUUGCUAGUGUUUGAAGUAAUAUCAUCCAAAUCUCGGUGAGUUGAAAAACCCACAAACGGUAUCUGAGACACAUUAAAAUGAAAUGAAAUAGUAUUCAAAACACUUGUCGCCUAGAAGGCAUUUAAGAAACAGCACUUGCGGCUAUUAUAUUAUCUCGUUUAGGCUUCACGGCUUAUCUAAACCUGAAGGCAACCAAAGGUGUGGGGCUGCAUUUCCCAUGAAGGU
rnacentral:lncRNA from 1 species